rnacentral:rRNA from 1 species
CAAUAGCGUAUAUUAAAGUUGUUGCAGUUAAAAGCUCGUAGUUGGAUUUGUGACUUGUUCCGAGGCGUCCAUUUGUUUGGUUCUGCCUUUGGCGUGUCAUCCUUGGGUGGAUUUUGUGUGGCAUUAGGUUGUCGCGCAGGGGAUGCCCAUCGUUUACUGUGAAAAAUUAGAGUGUUCAAAGCAGGCUUAUGCCGUUGAAUAUAUUAGCAUGGAAUAAUAAGAUAGGUCUUUGGUUCUAUUUUGUUGGUUUGCGAGCCGUAGAAAUGAUUAACAGGGACAGUUGGGGGUAUUCGUAUUCCAUUGUCAGAGGUGAAAUUCUUGGAUUUCUGGAAGACGAACUACUGCGAAAGCAUUUACCAAGGAUGUUUUCAUUAAUCAAGAACGAAAGUUAGGGGAUCGAAGAUGAUUAGAUACCAU